CCCACCUCAUAGGAUUGUUGCUGUGGAUAAAAACAGGAGAAGGAAGCAUAAGGAACCCGAAAGACGCUGUCGAAUAUCAAGUCCCUUUUUCCAAGGCUGUUCUAACUUCGAACGGUCACUAAAUGGAUUGUUGUAA